CUAGUGUAGUAGAACUUGAACCUAGGGUCUCAAGCAUGCUAAGUCAGUGCUCUACCACUGAGCUAUAACCA
rnacentral:sRNA from 1 species